rnacentral:rRNA from 1 species
GAUGAACGCUGGCGGCGUGCUUAACACAUGCAAGUCGAACGGAAAGGCUCCUGCUUGCAGGGGUACUCGAGUGGCGAACGGGUGAGUAACACGUGGGUGAUCUGCCCUGCACUUCGGGAUAAGCCUGGGAAACUGGGUCUAAUACCGGAUAGGACGAUGGUUUGGAUGCCAUUGUGGAAAGUUUUUCGGUGUGGGAUGAGCUCGCGGCCUAUCAGCUUGUUGGUGGGGUAAUGGCCUAUCAAGGCGUCGACGGGUAGCCGGCCUGAGAGGGUGUACGGCCACAUUGGGACUGAGAUACGGCCCAGACUCCUACGGGAGGCAGCAGUGGGGAAUAUUGCACAAUGGGCGCAAGCCUGAUGCAGCGACGCCGCGUGGGGGAUGACGGCCUUCGGGUUGUAAACUCCUUUCGCUAGGGACGAAGCGCAAGUGACGGUACCUGGAGAAGAAGCACCGGCUAACUACGUG